UACCAACAACAACCCUUUUUAUUUUUUCAUUUUACUCGCAAGAGUAAAACUCCUUUUUCCCAUCUUCUUAGAAGGUGGGAUUUUUUAU
rnacentral:antisense_RNA from 1 species